AGAGAAAGGAGCAGCCAUCUUCUCAACAACAUGAAUUCUCUCCCUUAAGACAGACAAGAUGAUUUAACCCUGAAGCUGCUGCCAGUACUCCACCCUGUUCCACCUUACUCAUUUGGGAGAAGAGUUUCAGAYCCAUCAACCUGGAAGUUCAGAUGGUUUCAUUGAUAUCCAGCCUUUGGAACAAACCUGGUGGCACAUCUACGAAAUGCGACAACCCGUAUGUCUUCAUGCAUGGAGACAGGCAAAAAUGCUAAAGUGUCAUUAAAAAUGAUCCUUGUUUAAUGGCUGAAA